GUCUACAGCCAUGCUACCCUGAACAAGCCCAAUCCUGUCUGAUCUCAGAAGCUAAGCAGGAUUGGGCCUGGUUAGUACUUGGAUGGGAGACCACCUAGGAAGACCAGGUGCUGUAGUAG
rnacentral:rRNA from 1 species